UCCCGUUUGACACGGGCAGUCCCUUUAGAGUGCCCAACUUAAUGAUGGCAACUGAAGAUGAGGGUUGCGCUCGUUGCGGGACUUAACCCAACAUCUCACGACACGAGCUGACGACAGCCAUGCAGCACCUGUGUUACGGCUCCCUUUCGGGCACAUCCACCUCUCAGCGGACUUCCGUACAUGUCAAGGGUAGGUAAGGUUUUUCGCGUUGCAUCGAAUUAAUCCACAUCAUCCACCGCUUGUGCGGGUCCCCGUCAAUUCCUUUGAGUUUUAAUCUUGCGACCGUACUCCCCAGGCGGUCAACUUCACGCGUUAGCUACGUUACCAAGUCAAUGAAGACCCGACAACUAGUUGACAUCGUUUAGGGCGUGGACUAC
rnacentral:misc_RNA from 1 species